UUCACCUGUUUAUCAAAAACAUCUCUUUAUGAUUAAAUAUAAAGUUUAACCUGCCCACUGAAAUUUUAAAUGGCUGCAGUAUAUUGACUGUACAAAGGUAGCAUAAUCAUUAGUUUUUUAAUUGAGAACUGGAAUGAAUGGUUGGAUGAAAUAUAUACUGUUUCAAGAAAAAUAUAUUAAAAUUUUAUUUUUUAGUAAAAAAGCUAAAAUUUAUUUAAAAGACGAGAAGACCCUAUAAAUCUUAUAUAUAAUAUUAUAAAUAUAAAAUUAAUUAGAAGAUUUAAAUGUAUUUAUUUUUUAUAUUUUAUUGGGGAGAUAGUAAAAUUUAAUAAACUUUUAUUAUUUAAAAGUUCAUUGAUUUAUGAAUUAUUGAUUAAUUAUUAAUGAAUAAAAAAAUAAGUUACUUUAGGGAUAACAGCGUAAUUAUUUUGGAGAGUUCAUAUUGAUAAAAUAGAUUGCGAC
rnacentral:rRNA from 1 species